GUCACUUCGUGUCAAAACUGUCAACUGUCAAAAAGUCAGCAAUUUUCUCGCGAUAAAGUGCUCUCGCACUUACCGCGGAUUCUAUAUAAAUAAAAUAGUUAAGUAGCUUGUGUUGUAGCCGGCAAAUAUAUUUUGCUGUACUAACAGUUAAGAGAAAAAGUGAAACCGAUGAUAAACAUGAUUAAGGCACUGGUCAUAUUUGGUGCUGGUGUUUACACCGGAGUUUAUGUAGCCCAAAACUAUAAGAUUGAAAAAGUUGAGGAUCCAAAGGUUCUAUUUGAGAAGGCACAAACUUAUUUGUCAAACAAACUAACAGAGAUUGGUGACAAUGGCAAGAAGGGUGAUAAAUGAUGAUGGAGAAAUAAUUUAGGGUCCGUUAAACAAACAUGUCGUUCAAUAACUUUAUUGUAAUUGUAAAUAUAAUAAGUAGGUGGUCUAUACAAUGAUAAUCUGAAUAAAGUUAGCAAUAAAUAAA